rnacentral:rRNA from 1 species
CGAAGGUGCAAGCGUUACUCGGAAUUACUGGGCGUAAAGCGUGCGUAGGUGGUUGUUUAAGUCUGUUGUGAAAGCCCUGGGCUCAACCUGGGAAUUGCAGUGGAUACUGGGCGACUAGAGUGUGGUAGAGGGUAGUGGAAUUCCCGGUGUAGCAGUGAAAUGCGUAGAGAUCGGGAGGAACAUCCAUGGCGAAGGCAGCUACCUGGACCAACACUGACACUGAGGCACGAAAGCGUGGGGGAGCAAACAGGAUU